UACGUAGGGUGCGAGCGUUAAUCGGAAUUACUGGGCGUAAAGCGUGCGCAGGCGGUUUUGUAAGUCAGAUGUGAAAUCCCCGGGCUUAACCUGGGAAUGGCAUUUGGGACUGCAAGGCUGGAGUUUGGCAGAGGAGACUGGAAUUCCCGGUGUAGCGGUGAAAUGCGUAGAUAUCGGGAGGAAUACCGAUGGCGAAGGCAGGUCUCUGGGCUAUAACUGACGCUCAUGCACGAAAGCGUGGGGAGCAAACAGG
rnacentral:rRNA from 1 species